rnacentral:rRNA from 1 species
AGUGAACGCUGGCGGCAGGCCUAACACAUGCAAGUCGAGCGGCAGCGCGGGGGCAACCCUGGCGGCGAGCGGCGGACGGGUGAGGAAUUCGUCGGAAUCUGCCUUUUUGUGGGGGAUAACGUAGGGAAACUUACGCUAAUACCGCAUACGUCCUACGGGAGAAAGUGGGGGACCGCAAGGCCUCACGCAGAAAGAUGAGCCGACGACCGAUUAGCUAGUUGGUGGGGUAAAGGCCCACCAAGGCGACGAUCGGUAGCUGGUCUGAGAGGAUGAUCAGCCACAGGGGGAAGGAAACGCGGCCCAGAGUCCGAGGGGAGGCAGGAGGGGGGAAUUGUGGAAAAAGGGGGAAAGCCUGACCCAGCCAGGCCGGGGGGGUGAAGAAGGCCUUGGGGUUGUAAAACACUUUUGGCGGGAAAAAAACCCCUGGGGAUAAAACAUGGGGGGGAGGAGGGUACGGGAAAAAAAAGCACGGGCAAAUUUGGG